rnacentral:misc_RNA from 1 species
UCCGGUUUGUCACCGGCAGUCUCAUUAGAGUGCCCUUGCGUAGCAACUAAUGAUAAGGGUUGCGCUCGUUGCGGGACUUAACCCAACAUCUCACGACGCGAGCUGACGACAGCCAUGCAGCACCUGUGCAGGAACUCCGAAGAGGGCCUCUGGUUUCUCAAAGGUUUCUCCUGCAUGUCAAGCCUAGGUAAGGUUCUUCGCGUUGCGUCGAAUUAAACCACAUGCUCCACCGCUUGUGCGGGCCCCCGUCAAUUCCUUUGAGUUUUAAUCUUGCGACCGUACUCCCAGGCGGAGUACUUAUCGCGUUAGCUGCGCUACCGGAGGGGUCGAUACCCCCGACAGCUAGUACUCAUCGUUUACGGCGUGGACUAC